UGGGGGAUAUUGCACAAUGGGCGCAAGCCUGAUGCAGCGACGCCGCGUGAGGGAAGACGGUCUUCGGAUUGUAAACCUCUGUCUUCGGGGACGAAUAAUGACGGUACCCGAGGAGGAAGCCACGGCUAACUACGUGCCAGCAGCCGCGGUAAUACGUAGGUGGCGAGCGUUGUCCGGAAUUACUGGGUGUAAAGGGAGCGUAGGCGGGAUUGCAAGUCAAGUGUUAAAUUUACCGGCUUAACCGGUAACCGCGCUUGAAACUGCAAUUCUUGAGUGAAGUAGAGGUAGGCGGAAUUCCUAGUGUAGCGGUGGAAUGCGUAGAUAUUAGGAGGAACACCAGUGGCGAAGGCGGCCUACUGGGCUUUUACUGACGCUGAGGCUCGAAAGCGUGGGGAGCAAACA
rnacentral:rRNA from 1 species